CACACACAUCACUAGUUCAGUGUAAGUGUGGCUCACCUAUGCCUAAUUUGAGAAAGGAGCAAAUUCAUUCUCCCUUCAAUAAUCUCCCUCUAUCACCAUUAACCUUUGAGAUCCCUAAAUGCAAGCAGUUCACCUGCUGCUGCUUGGUUCUAUCUCCUUAGUUGUGGCACGCGGGCUCCUUAGCUGUGGCGUGUGAACUCUCAGUUGCAGCAUGCAUGUGGGAUCUAGUUCCCUGAGCAGGGAUCAAACCCGGGACCCCUGCAUUGGGAGUGUGGAGUCUUAACCACUGUUCCACCAGGGAAGUCCUGGUUCUAUCUCCUUAAGAACAAGCAAGGGGGGAAAAAUGUAAGAUCUGCCAGCUGAGAAAUAAAAAAUAUCUUCUCCAAAUCCCACUAAGGUGCCUUUCCCACCCAGAACUGAGUUUUCCCACUGCUAUAUAUCUCCUUGUAACUUAAUUAAAGAGCAAUCAGGGCCUGCCUGCCUACCCUCCAGCAUAAACAUCCUUGGAAAACGUCAAACACACCUGGAUAACUAAUUUUGUCCUGAGAACCUCUCAUGAGGGAGGGGAAGAUCUUGGCACCGCCUCUAGUGGAGCGAUGAGUGCAACACCACGGCACCUUGAUCAUGACUUUUUUGAGGGAGUGAUUCUUGUGGCCUCCUCUACUUCUUGCCGGAUCAGCACUGACUCAAGAAGUUGAUCUUAUCCACGUGGAAACAACUUAGAUGUCCAUCAACAGAUGAAUGGAUAAAGAAGACGUGGUUAAGAUAAAAAGGACAUAGAAGUCCCCAUGAGCCCCUACCCAGCUACAACUCCUCUAAUCC